UCCCUGGUGGCUCAGAUGGUAAAGCAUCUGCCUGCAAUGCGGGAGACACGGGUUCAAUUCCUGGGUUGGGAA
rfam:Ovis aries breed Texel chromosome 17, whole genome shotgun sequence.